AGAUUGAACGCUGGCGGCAGGCCUAACACAUGCAAGUCGAGCGGCAGCACGGGUACUUGUACCUGGUGGCGAGCGGCGGACGGGUGAGUAAUGCCUAGGAAUCUGCCUGGUAGUGGGGGAUAACGCUCGGAAACGGACGCUAAUACCGCAUACGUCCUACGGGAGAAAGCAGGGGACCUUCGGGCCUUGCGCUAUCAGAUGAGCCUAGGUCGGAUUAGCUAGUUGGUGAGGUAAUGGCUCACCAAGGCGACGAUCCGUAACUGGUCUGAGAGGAUGAUCAGUCACACUGGAACUGAGACACGGUCCAGACUCCUA
rnacentral:rRNA from 1 species